AGAAUGACUCUCGGCAACGGAUAUCUAGGCUCUUGCAUCGAUGAAGAACGUAGCGAAAUGCGAUACUUGGUGUGAAUUGCAGAAUCCCGCGAACCAUCGAGUCUUUGAACGCAAGUUGCGCCUCAAGCCACUAGGUUGAGGGCACGUCUGCCUGGGCGUCACAU
rnacentral:rRNA from 1 species